AUAUUAAUCAGGCAAACUUACUGAAAAGUAAGGGCGCAAAGCCACGGACCUAAAGCGCAUGCACAGUCGCCAAGGCAGCCGGGUUGCCGGA
rnacentral:ncRNA from 1 species